CCAAUCUCCACUCGAAGUGCGCGGUACCGGCUUUUAACUCCCUGGAGUAGUCUGCGAUCGGGUAUAAAAUAGUCUCGCUCCUUGAAUAAAUAAAAUGGCCAGCAGGCAGGAAAUUUGAAAACAAACAAGAGACCACAAGCAUGGAGUACGCCCCAAGAUGAUUUGAUUACACAUCGACCCCUGGAGCGAGGACUUAACCCGACGGCAGCUGCAUCAG
rnacentral:misc_RNA from 1 species